CACAACCCAGCGAGCCUCCCAGACAGAGAGGAACCCCAGUAACUCCUGCAUCUCCAUCUCUAUUCCUCACCCUCUCAUAACUCCCUCUUUCGCUCCCUCACUUCCUCACCCUUCCUGAUUCACCUCCACACAAUAGACUUCCUCUGCAAGCACCAGCCUGAAGGGGAAAAGGGGGGUGAGAUACAGUUUCUCUGCAACAAUGGAAAUUCAAUCAGGAAAUGGCGAGGAGGUGGCGAGCGCAGUGUCAGCGACCUCGGGCUUCGUUUCCCAUAGUCCCUCUGGGCUUCAGGUAGAGGCAUCAGACGAUCCUGUGCUCAAAGAGGACCUGCAGGCUGCUAAGAGGAUUGAGAGGUUUGACAUCCCACUCGAUAACCUGAAGAGGAUGUUUGAGAAGCCAGCUGUGGCAAACACAGAAGUGUCCGUCCACACCUCCUCGUCUAAAAGAGUGAUGUCCGGUAAUCUCACACAGGCUGACCCAUCAACAGAUCAGACCAUGGCCUCACCUACAGUCACCACUCUUUCUGCAGACAGCGCAGGUAGAUCCACAUCAGGACGUCCCAAGGACAGGGCCCCCAGCGCCGAGGAACAGGAGGACGAGCCGGUGUCUGUGAAAGAGCGGCUGGCGAUGUAUCAGGCUGCCGUGUCCAAGAAAGAAACCAGCAGCUCCUCUUCCGCUGCGGUAAGACGAUACUUCCACAUGGGUUUAAGAGGAGAUGGCAGUGAGGACAUGCAGGCAGCCAGGGAGAUGGCAGACACUCACAGAUAUUGUAAUAAUACAUUAUGUAACAAA
rnacentral:lncRNA from 1 species